rnacentral:rRNA from 1 species
UUCGUAGGCGGUUUAUUAAGUCUGAAGUUAAAUUCUGGGGCUCAACCCCAGCUUGCUUUGGAUACUGAUAGACUAGAGUUAUAGAGAGAUUAGCGGAACUCCAUGUGAAGCGGUGGAAUGCGUAGAUAUAUGGAAGAACACCAAUGGCGAAGGCAGCUAAUUAGCUAUAUACUGACGCUCAGGAACGAGAGCGUGGGGAGCAAACA